UGUCUCUAUCCUGAGAAAGGGGUACCUGUUUUGAUGGUGUUUGUCUCAUUAGCCAGGAAUGAAGUGAUGCCAUGUUUAUCCCAGCUGGGCUUUUUUGGUCUGUGCCCAUGCCUGGUUAAUGCCAUGGACACACAU
rnacentral:snoRNA from 1 species